rnacentral:rRNA from 1 species
UAAAGGAAUUGGCGGGGGAGCACCACAAGGGGUGAAGCCUGCGGUUCAAUUGGAGUCAACGCCAGAAAUCUUACCCGGAGAGACAGCAGAAUGAAGGUCAAGCUGAAGACUUUACCAGACAAGCUGAGAGGUGGUGCAUGGCCGUCGUCAGCUCGUGCCGUGAGAUGUCCUGUUAAGUCAGGUAACGAGCGAGAUCCCUACCACUAGUUGCUAUCAUUACUCUCAGGAGUAGUGGAGCGAAUUAGUGGGACCGCUGUAGUAAUAUGGAGGAAGGAAGGGGCCACGGCAGGUCAGUAUGCCCCGAAACUCUGGGGCCACACGCGGGCUGCAAUGGUAGUGACAAUGGGCGCCUAACUCGAAAGAGUGCGGCAAUCCUUAAACGCUACCACAGUUAUGACUGAGGGCUGUAACUCGCCCUCACGAAUAUGGAAUCCCUAGUAACUGCGUGUCAUUAUCGCGCGGUGAAUACGUCCCUGCUCCUUGCACACACCGCCA